rnacentral:ncRNA from 1 species
GGAAACACUGUGAAGGAAAGAGUAGGUAUGGAAGGACAUCUACAGAGAACUGCCGGUUGCUGAGAGGCAGGGUGGAGGACAUAUCGAACAUGGCUCCGGAGUGGCGCACCGAACAGCAUGGCUGCAAGGCUGCGACAGGAACGCCUGUUAUAGCGGGAAUGUAUCGGGAAAUGCACCUGUACAUUGUGAGGUCCGUUCUGCGAGGAACGGAUGAAGAGAAGUGGUACCACGGAUUAAGAUUAUAACCCGUCUUCUGA